GACGAACGCUGGCGGCGUGCCUAAUACAUGCAAGUCGAACGCAGUGGGGACGGGUGAGUAACACGUGGGUAACCUCCCCUCAGAGGGGAUAACACUUGGAAACAGGUGCUAAACCGAUACUGAUGGAUGGACCCGCGGUGCAUUAGCUAGUUGGUGAGGUAACGGCUCACCAAGGCCACGAUGCAUAGCCGACCGGAGAGGUGGAUCGGCCACACUGGGACUGAGACACGGCCCAGACUCCUACGGGAGGCAGCAGUGGGGAAUAUUGGACAAUGGGCGCAAGCCUGAUGCAGCCAUGCCGCGUGUAUGAAGAAGGCCCUAGGGUUGUAAAGUACUUUCAGUCGGGAGGCGUUACCGACAGAAGAAGCACCGGCUAACUCCGUGCCAGCAGCCGCGGUAAUAC
rnacentral:rRNA from 1 species